CACGUAGUUAGCCGGGGCUUCUUAGUCAGGUACCGUCAUUAUCUUCCCUGCUGAUAGAGCUUUACAUACCGAAAUACUUCUUCACUCACGCGGCGUCGCUGCAUCAGGGUUCCCCCAUUGUGCAAUAUUCCCCACUGCUGCCUCCCGUAGGAGUCUGGGCCGUGUCUCAGUCCCAAUGUGGCCGUUCACUCUCUCAAGCCGGCUACUGAUCGUCGCCUUGGUAGGCCGUUACCCCACCAACAAGCUAAUCAGACGCGGGUCCAUCUCACAGCGAUAAAUCUUUGAAAGGAUCGUCAUGCGGCAAUCCCUUGUUAUGCGGUAUUAGCAGCCCGUUUCCGGCUGUUGUCCCCCUCUGUGAGGCAGGUUACCCACGCGUUACUCACCCGUCCGCCCACUCAGUCAUUACCAUCUUCCCUCCGAAAAGUUCCGUCGGUAGCGCUUCGUUCGACUUGCAUGUGUUAAGCACGCCGCCAGCGUUCAUCCUGAGCCAGGAUCAAACUU
rnacentral:rRNA from 1 species